UACGUAGGGUGCAAGCGUUGUCCGGAAUUAUUGGGCGUAAAGAGCUCGUAGGCGGUUUGUCGCGUCUGCUGUGAAAACUCGGGGCUUAACUCCGGGCCUGCAGUGGGUACGGGCAGACUAGAGUGCGGUAGGGGAGACUGGAAUUCUGGUGUAGCGGUGAAAUGCGCAGAUAUCAGGAGGAACACCGGUGGCGAAGGCGGGUCUCUGGGCC
rnacentral:rRNA from 1 species